UAACAAUUCAUUCUGUGCUAUUUUUUAAUGUGAGUCAGUGAGUGACCGGUGACUGGCUGCUGCAGCCAAUGAUGCGAUUCACAUACGUAUUUACCAUAGACUGUAUAUAAUGGUAUUUACGCAGCUAAUCAACGUCAGGCGUCCUUAUGUGCAGCCAUCGUUGUUGUCAUAGAUAUGAAUGAGUAGAUAGGACACGCCCCUUUGAGCUGCGUGCUACAGCGAGGCUAAGCUAGUGGGGGCAAAGUUUCAGUGCAUUCUGUUGAUGUAGACGGCGUGAAAACGGAAACAAGAAGUAUGCCGUCUCACUGUGCUGCAUACAAUUACACACUGCGUCGUACGAUUGAGACAAGGAAACUUGGAAUGACUUUUCAUAGGUUUCCCAGAGACUAUGGGUUGAGGAGGAAUUGGAAGUUUGUCGGCUUAGACCUGGUGUCAUUCCAUCAGUGUUAAACUUCCCGGCUCAUCUUGGAAGAGUACGUGCCAGAAAGACCACGACCAAGCAGCCUUGAGAUCUUAGGCAGCGUCUCCCUGAGGUCCCUCUCUAUCUCCCCACACAUCCACCAACCACUGGAACACAUCUCCAAAGUUCUGCCGGGCCAGCUCAGCUUCCCCUCAGAAGAAGUGGCGCCACCUGCCAGAUGAAGGAGCCUUUUGAGAGGCAGCUGGCAUCAUGAUUGGACUGUACUUUGGUCUGUUCCAAUCCAGCUUCAGCUCCAGAGAUGGCAGGCGGGACGAGUCAACGGAGGCUGGGUGGACGAAGACAUGCAGCUGAGUACAAUCCAGAAAACAACAGAGGAGGAGUGCAGCAGCCCAGGGCCAGAACAAACAGAGUAGCAUGGUAUGUCUCUUAGAAAACAUCAUAGUAUAGCCUUUGGUAUGAAAAAACACCAUCAUAUACAUCGUAUAUUGUACAAAUAACAAGUCAAAGGAAAGAGACAUACAUUGUAGAAUUGUAGUAAUUGUAGGCUGACUGAUUUACUGAUUAUCAGUAUUUUAUUUUUUUACUGAUUUACGGUAAUAAAUACAUUUAAAAAUGGU